rnacentral:rRNA from 1 species
UACGUAGGAGGCGAGCGUUAUCCGGAGUUACUGGGCGUAAAGAGCGUGUAGGCGGGUAUGCAAGUCUGGCGUGAAAGGUCCCGGCUAAACUGAGAGAGUGCGCUGGAGACUGCGUGUCUAGAGGCAAGUAGAGGGACGUGGAAUUCCGGGUGUAGUGGUGAAAUGCGUAGAGAUCCGGAGGAACACCAGUGGCGAAGGCGACGUCCUGGGCUUGACCUGACGCUGAGACGCGACAGCACGGGGAGCGAACGGG